rnacentral:rRNA from 1 species
UACGGAGGGUGCAAGCGUUAUCCGGAUUUAUUGGGUUUAAAGGGUCCGUAGGCGGGCCGAUAAGUCAGUGGUGAAAUCUCGCAGCUUAACUGUGAAACUGCCAUUGAUACUGUUGGUCUUGAGUAAAUUUGAAGUGGCUGGAAUAAGUAGUGUAGCGGUGAAAUGCAUAGAUAUUACUUAGAACACCAAUUGCGAAGGCAGGUCACUAAGAUUUAACUGACGCUGAUGGACGAAAGCGUGGGUAGCGAACAGGAUUAGAUACCCUGGUAGUCCACGCCGUAAACGAUGCUAACUCGUUUUUGGGCACUUGUGCUCAGAGACCAAGCGAAAGUGAUAAGUUAGCCACCUGGGGAGUACGAUCGCAAGAUUGAAACUCAAAG